UACGGGGGGGGCAAGCGUUGUUCGGAAUUACUGGGCGUAAAGGGCUCGUAGGCGGCCAACUAAGUCAGACGUGAAAUCCCUCAGCUCAACUGAGGACGUGCAUCCGAAACUGGCGAGCUUGAGUGCUGAAGAGGAUCGCGGAAUUCCCGGUGUAGAGGUGAAAUUCGUAGAUAUCGGGAGGAACACCAGUGGCGAAGGCGGCGAUCUGGGCAGACACUGACGCUGAGGUGCGAAAGCGUGGGGAGCAAACAGG
rnacentral:rRNA from 1 species